rnacentral:rRNA from 1 species
AACGAACGCUGGCGGCGCGCCUAAUACAUGCAAGUCGAGCGAGAAGACGUAGCAAUACGUUUGUAAAGCGGCGAACGGGUGAGGAAUACAUGGGUAACCUACCCUCGAGUGGGGAAUAACUAGCCGAAAGGUUAGCUAAUACCGCGUACGCUCCUUGGACUUCGGUUCAGGGAGGAAAGCGAUACCGUGGGUAUCGCGCUCUUGGAUGGGCUCAUGUCCUAUCAGCUUGUUGGCGAGGAACGGCUCACCAAGGCUUCGACGGGUAGCUGGUCUGAGAGGACGAUCAGCCACACUGGCACUGCGACACGGGCCAGACUCCUACGGGAGGCAGCAGUAAGGAAUAUUGCGCAAUGGGCGAAAGCCUGACGCAGCGACGCCGCGUGGGGGA